CAAGCGGAGCGCAGAGGUUGGUGGUGUCCCCGUAUAAAGAACAUCUCUCUGAACUAGUCUGGACUGAGCUCAGUCCAGUUCAUUUCGUACGUUGGAGGGAGUGAAGCUAAUAUUCGGAACAGCAGUUUAGGUCAAAUUACGUGUUUUUCGUCUCACUUCUCCAUCAGCAGUUUAGAACGAUAAGCCCAAGAGUGAUAAAAUUGAGGAAAAACAAGUGAACUCUUGUUGUCGACUGAUUCAGGCUUAUUUGCUGUUGUAGUGGACUUUGUGGCCAGUGACUCUAGGUAAGACCAGGCCUGACUUCACUGCAUCAUACAUUUUCUGUUUGUGUGGUCUUGAAUGAUGCGUUUACUGCGUUAGACUGCUGAACAUCAGUGAUGUCAAAUCAAAAUAACUGACAAGACUGGUGAAUUUCAACUUAAAGUCUGUUUAAUUUUGAAGCUGGAAUUAAUCUUUAAGAUGGCAUUUUCUUUUGCAACAGGGAGAGAAGGUGAAUUGGAAGAGGCUGAGGUUUGUAUGUUCCUCACUAUGUUCAUUGUAAUGGCGGUGUGUGUUGCAGAUGUACCUGUAUAAUUUUACACUUUACUGUAAUAUUUUGUGAAUGUAACAAUUGAACAAUCCUGUUUGAGUGUUUGUAAACAAACAAAAUAAACCUCUUUGCAUGUGUCAUUUGUUGCAGUGUUUUAUGUAAAAAAUAUUUAAGCACUGUAUUUGAACCUGUGGAGCCCCUUCAUGGCACAAUGGGCCAAGCAACAGUGCAACAGUAAAAGCUUGUUAUAACUGGAGCCUCUUGGAUUUCCACCCAAGUUGCUCUUUUAAAAGCAGUCGACAACUUUUUUUUUUUUGUGUAUACAUUAUUUUCCACGAUUGGUCUGCUAUAAAGGGGCACUGAACUGGAGGGUAAUAGUGGAUCUGAGUAAGGGGUCCAUAACGGUAUAUUUCAUUUGUUGCAAUGUAGUGUAUAUAAGCUCUUUUUUUUUUUUUUUUUUAACCUGUGGAGCCCCUUCAUGGCUCAAUGGGUCAAGCAAGGGCUUCUUGGGAGUUGCUCUUUUAAAACCAUUCAACCAAAAGCUUUGAAAAAAUGCGUCUGGAAUAUUUUUGCAAAAGCAGUUUAUCAAUUUCCACACACAAUCAUGUUGUCAAUAUGGCAGAACAAUAUUCAAAUGAAGUAUUGCGCAAAGGAAACAGCAAUUGGCAGAGUGCACACAAAAGAUUAAUUGAGAAUGGCAAUAUUGAAGCAUAAACAGUGAUACAAAAUAAACACAUUAAAAUCAAAUUACAUGUAGUAUUGAUGCUUCGACUUGAACGCAAAAUGGAGGUGGAAAAAGCCAUAAUUCACGUUUUCUGAAACCUCAGUGGCAGCAAAGAUACAGAAUUUGUGGUGUUGGACAGAAAACACUUUUUCAGACCUGUCAAUACCUGUUAAGUAUCUGAUAAUGGAUGAAUGUCAAAACUCAUUCAUGAUAUUUUAGACUUGCCACUGUUAUUCAACAUAACCUACAUGAUUUAAUACACCAAUGGACUGCAAGCACAGUAAAUAAUAA